AGUUAGACUCCAUUUGAGGAAAAAAAAAAAAAAGGAAAGUAAGUGCAGACUCCAGAGCCCAAUAACCUGGGUGUGGACCAUAACUGCCCACUCCUAACUGCUUUGAUGGUGGGAAGUCAGUUUAUCUGUCUCUGUGCGUCAGUUUCCACAACUGUGAAAUGGGCAUCAGUACUGUAUCUACGUCACAGGGUCAUUACAAGAAUGAAAUGAGCAAAUAUGAAUGAAGUGUUUAGAAACGGGCCUUACUCCAUGUCAGCUCUAUGCAGGUAUGAUUGGUCCUUGCUGAAGGAAUGAAAUUCCAUGUCAGUCAAUGGGUUAUUGCCAGGCCCAGGCCCAGGCUGGUCAGAGCUCUGGCCAACUGGGCCCACACAGGGUGUGGCAGGGCAGCCAGUGUCAGCACAUCCAAAGUCCCCCGGCCUGCUGAGUUGGCAGAGGGCCUGCCCUGACACUCCCCAGCCCCAAAGAACAUCCUAGAAAGGAGACUGGGGCUUCCUUAGGUGUCAGUGGGUAGAGGGAACAGGAGAUUGGGAGCCCCUAACCGUGGCUGAGACCCUCCCACAGCCCUCGCUGUGUGGCCAGGCCUGGCACGGGGCAGUGGCACAUGUUUUCCAUGGCAUGUGGAGGGUACAAGGGUGCAGGACUUACUCCAGGGGGCUGUAGUCACAUGUGUGUGCUUAUGGGGGCUCAAAAUCUUCCAGCCAACGGGCACUUUCCUGCUCUGACUAGAACCCAUAGCAGCAAGUCCAGGCCAGUCCGUCUGGCCCUAAUUCUGAGCUAACUUGUACUUCUAAUGAUUUCAUCCAGAAAGUCAGUCAGUCAGUCAACAAACAUUUUUGGAGGCCCUAUUGCAUGUCACACCAUUAAAGUGGAGGUACACAGAGGUCUCUGUCUUGAAGAAUGGGAUCAUUGCACUGAGAAAGGGGUUCCUGGCUACAGGCAUUGUGUGCGCCAAGGCACAGUGGAAAGGGAAAGCCUACCCAAGGUGGGAAAUGUGGCCAAAGGGAGGGCAGAUGGGAGGAGGGCAGGGCAGGAGGCAGGGCUGGGGCUGAGAUGAGGAAGGGCCCUGCGAGGCAGGCUCAGGGGUCCAGCAUCUUCUGGAAGGAGGCCUUGAAGGUGCAACUUCAAAUAUCCAGAGAUUGAAGGCGGCUUUCCUGCCAUCCCAUGAGGCCUGGUCCAGGAGCUGUUCAGUGAACCUUGGCUAGUUAAUGGCAGCAUGAGUGCUGGGUGGGUCUGAGGGUCCAGGUUACCCUAUACAGUGCAGACCACAUGAUUGGGUCAUUGUGGAGUUGUGCAACAUUGCAUCUCUGUGGCAUCUGGAGCCUGGUAUCUGGGCAUUUGUGACCGUGCCCAUUUGUGUGUGUCAGCGAGUGUCUGUGGGCUGUGGUUCAGCCACUGUGUGUGUGUGUGUAUGUGUGUGUGUGUGUGUGUGUGUGCAUGGUGUAGUGUCUGCCGUGAUUGACUCCCUAGGUGCUGGAGGGCUGACGAGUGUUAGUCCAUAGAUACAGCCUGCCCCAAUCCCAUCCUAGGCACAGCUGCUCUGGUGAGAACACCUGGAGGUGAUUCCACAUCUGGGCUUGCAGUAGUAACAGCAGCAGGAUCAUACCGGGCUGGAAGAACAAACAUUUCCUGAGCACUGGCUUGUGCCAGACACCGUUACAGGCACUGGAGAGAUAGCAGUGAAAAAACCAAUGGCCCCUGCCCACAGGAGGCAGAUGUCCCAGCCAGGGAGACCUAGGAGGCUGCAGGGCCUGUGCCCAGCCUCUGGGGAGGGCCCGGCUGGCCUAUCUGCAGAGAGAGCCCACACUUCAAAUGGAGCAGCCUCUGGCCCCCAGGUAAUGAGGGUGGGGUGUGCCUGGGGCCCUGCUGAUUGAUGGGGAAUCCCAGCUCCCUUACCUCACACCUGCAGCCCUACCUCCUGCCUCCCAGCAUAGCCCCUGUGUGUGAGGCACAGCUCUGGAACCCUCUAGGGCUCUGCUGGCCCAUGGUGCCCCACCUGAUCACCCUGGGAAGUGGGCCAGGCAGGGCUGGAGGUGAGAGGGGAGGAGGGAAGUAGAUCAAGGAUGACCUCCCAUCUUAUCAAACAUCUGAGCCCCUCCAUCAUCCCCUCCUUCAAUGGGGUCUUCUUCCCUGGCUGCAAGUGGAUAGUCCGGGUAAGUAGAAGCUGGGGCUGCCUGGGUGUCACCCCCCACCCCCGCCUCUGACACUCCCUCACUCUCUCUACUGUGUGUCCCAUUUACCUUAUCUUCUCUCGCCCUCGUCACUACUCCGAGUUAAUAACAGUCGUGUGUUGAUCUGUUAGCAGGCAUGAUGCUAAGUGAUUUGCAUGUAUGCUCUCCUUUAAUCCUCACAACGACCCUGUGAGGUCAGCAAUUGUUAUUCCACUAGAAGGGAGAAAGCCACAGCUCAGAGGCAUCCACAUCGCCCAGUGAGGAGGGCAGAGAGUACGGCUUCCUGUCCAGGUUCUGGAGAGCACUUAGCUGUACUGCGGCCUUGGGAUCAUGCUCUGCUGCUCUCCUCCCAGCCGUGGUCCCUUGGUGGGAGCUGAGCUGUGUCCUCGAAGGUUGUGGACUGUGACCAUUGUUCACGGGAACCAGAGACAUCACUCUUUAGGAUUCUACCAGCAACACCUGAAUGGGCUCGACAUUCGUGGAGGUGAUGUUUCCCUGGAUUACUGACUUUUGUUUUAUAAUAAUUAAAAUCUUUAUUUGGUCUUAUUUAAUAUAGUUUAGAAGCUAUCCAAUCUGUUUUUUUUGGAGAGGCAAACUUCUUUUGAAAAUGUAAG